GACGAACGCUGGCGGCGUGCUUAACACAUGCAAGUCGAACGGAAAGGCCUCUUUCGGGGGGUACUCGAGUGGCGAACGGGUGAGUAACACGUGAGUAACCUGCCCUUGACUUUGGGAUAACUUCAGGAAACUGGGGCUAAUACCGGAUAGGAGCUCCUGCUGCAUGGUGGGGGUUGGAAAGUUUCGGCGGUUGGGGAUGGACUCGCGGCUUAUCAGCUUGUUGGUGGGGUAGUGGCUUACCAAGGCUUUGACGGGUAGCCGGCCUGAGAGGGUGACCGGCCACAUUGGGACUGAGAUACGGCCCAGACUCCUACGGGAGGCAGCGGUGGGGAAUAUUGCACAAUGGGUGGAAGCCUGAUGCAGCAACGCCGUGUGCGGGAUGACGGCCUUCGGGUUGGAAACCGCUUUCGCUCAUGACGAAGCUUUGUGUGACGGUAGUGGGUAAAGAAGCACCGGCUAACUACGUG
rnacentral:rRNA from 1 species